CUCAACAAAAGAAAAAAGAAAGCUUCCAAUCUCAUUUUAUCUCCAUUACUUUCUACACCAAAAUUGGGUCCCACAACCCGGUUCUUUGUCUAGAGGAUAGCAGUUGAGUACUAGUGGUGGUCUCGGUUAGAAUUGGUAAGAAGAUAUCAAACCUUUUGAAAGCUUCAAAGGUAAUAUUUCUUAAAACCCUAAUUUGAUUAGUUUAUGGUUACAUGUUAAUUGUGGCAAUUAGGGUAGAAAUUCGAUUCUUUUUCCGCUGUGCAUGACUUAGUUCUAUCAUGUGGUAUCAGAGCAUGCUUCAUUUUUACCCAAUUGCAUGUGGUGGGUUCAUAUUUAUUAGAUAAAUUUUGGUUUGAACUAAAAUGGAUAUAUUAUGAUUUUGGCUCUAGAUUAAGUGUUUUUGUUCUAAUUAUUGUAAUUAGCCUUGUUAAUGGCUUAUUUUUAUUGUUGCAAAGUGUUUGUAAUUUUUUAAAAAAAAAAAAAAGUCAUUAGAGUUGAAGUUAGGCUGUAACUGGUUCAACCGGGUGAGAGAAUUGAAAAAAAAUGAAGAAAAGAAGGUCACAGACCCGAAAACCCGCCUUGACCCGCUUCGCGACUCGCACGCGCCCGCGCGCCCGCAUGCCCGCACGCCCUCCUGCGCCCGCGCACCCGCCUGUGCCCGCACGCCCUCCUGCGCCCGCGCACCCGCCUGUGUCCGCAUGCAUCUGCGCGCCCGCAUGCGCCCGCGCGCCUGCCUUCGCCCGACCCGUGUGCGCCUGGGCCGGUUCAAGCGGUUUCGGUUGGUUUUUCAGCUGGUUCAAAGUUUUUGGGAGUGGUUCUGUACUACACCAAAGUAAUUAUGUAAUAAUUUAGUACUUAGCUUAAUUUAGGAGCCAAAAAUCAGUCCAUUUUAGGGUGUUUUUUUUUUAUUUAUGCAUGUGAUGUAUGAUUAAAUUACUUUAAAUUUGUAUGUGCAUUUUGAAUGUCAUAUAGAUUUAAAAUCCCACCAUAGGUUAACAUGUUCAUGCAUUAAAAUGUAUGAUAUAAAGGUUAUAUUGUAUUGUAUGCAUGUUAAUUGAUUAAUAUGGAAAUUAAAAUCCCACCAUAGGUGUUUGCUUUUCAUUCUAGGUCAUAAAGCUUGGGUGUGACGUUUCGGCAUUUUCAUAUGCAAGCCUGCCAGAGCUGAAAAUGUUCAAAAUGUAUUAUAGGGGAGGCAUACCAGUUGAAUCCCCGCUCGAGCAUUAGUUGUACUCUUUGCAAGCAACCCUUUUCGUGGCACGCGUGCGGGGCCUGUGAGCUGUCCUCGAGAGGUGCCUGCCAAUGUUGUGGGCAUAUGUCCUGGUCACCCUUGGGCUUUCUCGGGACCAUGUUGGGCUACUCCUGGGCCAUGCUAAAGGAGUCGUGGCACGUAUUGGCGCAAUUUUGCGAGUGAUUUUUGGGGUCAAAGCUUCACAUGUGACAUCAGGCUUACUUCUUUUCAUUUCUUUCUUUUUUCUUCUUCUUUCUUUUUCCCGUUUUAAAUUUUAUCUCUAAACCAAACUCCAACUAACUCUAAUUUAUGUUUAGGAACUUGUAAUUUUGGAGUACAAUAUAAGUAUAAUUGUUUGUGUUAUAUUGUUUUUUUUAUUAUUAUUACUAUUAAAAAUAGCCAAAUUAAUUAAAAUAUUUAUAAGGUAUUUUAAAAUUUGAUAUUCGAUAGAUCGAUCAAUGUCACUAAACAUAUAAGGGCUUAUCAAUAUCUAUUAUUAAUAUAAUCUAGUAAAUAUUUUGUC
rnacentral:lncRNA from 1 species